CCUCAGCGCCAGGCCCCGAGGGGCGAAGCCUGCGGCAAAGACUCCAGCACCUUCCUCCUCCUGUCGCCAAGCCUGCGCCACUGCUUGGGAUGCCCUGCCCAUUCCUGAGCAGCCCGACUGUGCUUCAUCCUGGCUUCCUCAUGCAACUUCCCCUCAAGGCCAAUUUCCUCACUCAUACUUGCAAAGGAAAUUUCCAGAACCAGACCUGGAGCUCAGGUACUCACUGGGACUCCAAGCAAAGAGCUUGCCCCCUCAGAUGAGGCUGCUGACGUGCAAAUGGGAAUGGCGGUCACUUGGGGACGGGACUCACUACAGGGUAAAGGGGAGCCCCUGCCCUGCUUCUCUGCCCCACUCCCCCACUUUGCUGACAGGAGGAAAGGCAGGUAAGUUUGAGGUCAAGGCCUUCUUAGUUCAGAGCUAGGCAGCUGUGACUUAAAGCCCCCCCAGCACCCCCCCACCCAGAGUGUGGCUGCUUCUUCCUCCCUCCCCAAGGCCAGAAAGGGCCUGAGAACCCAGGGGCCUCCGCCCUCACUCACUUCCUCCCCAGAGACUAGGGGGUUGGGGGGACGGGACAGUAGCUCAGUGACAGGUAGGUGACAAGGACCAAAAUAGAGACAGAGAAGUGCAGCAUCUUUAAUACAGGUUGUCUUUGCCCACAGACCAGAGGGCAGGAGGCAGGAUCUGAACCCACUCCCAUCCUUCUGAUGAAAAGUAAACAAAACAAACCCCCCCCCAUCUUUCUUGUCAACCUAACUCAACUCUCAGAGACAACACCUCCCCCCAGUAAAAUCACGGACAGAAGAGGAACCUGGCCCAUGACUGAGAAAAUAACUUUAUUUUGUUUGGGGGCGCAGGCAGAUCUCCAGUCUCAGAACUUCUGGAACUGCUUCUUGGUGCCGGCGGCCUUGGUGACUUUGAGCACGUUGAAGCGCACGGUCUUGCUCAGGGGCCGGCACUCACCCACUGUGACGAUGUCGCCGAUCUGGACGUCUCUGUGGACAGGGGCAGCGUCAGUGGUGCGCGGGAGGAGAGGGGCACUGGAGGCCACCCCAAGCAGCCCCCAGGGGAGAGUCUCCUUCAUGGUCACCAGGCUGAGGCCCCCACCAAGCUCCCGGGUCCAGUUCCGGCUGCACCCUUGUCAGGGAGUGCAAGCUCUGGCCAAGGCACCGGGCUCGGCAUGGGACAGCAAAUGCUCUGACCCUUCCCGGGACCUCUUGGGGCAGAUCUCUAACCGCCACCUCCGGUUUAGAGAACUGGAGGCUCCUGAGGAUGGUGGCUUGCUCGUACCAGCCUCCCCACCCCCUCAGUUGCCCAGGGGGUCCCUGUUAAUACCCACAUCAGGUCCCAAGUCACUCAGACUUGAGUGCGGCCUGCCCCCUCCACUGUGACUGAAAGGGUGGCCAGCCCGGGCUGCCUGGGACCCACUGUGCUCACCUGAAGCAGGGAGACAAGUGCACUGACAUGUUCUUGUGGCGCUUCUCGAAACGGUUGUACUUUCGGAUAUAGUGGAGGUAGUCUCGGCGAAUGACUAUGGUCCUCUGCAUCUUCAUCUUGGUCACCACACC